rnacentral:rRNA from 1 species
GAUGAACGCUGGCGGCGUGCCUAAUACAUGCAAGUCGAGCGAACAGACGAGGAGCUUGCUCCUCUGACGUUAGCGGCGGACGGGUGAGUAACACGUGGAUAACCUACCUAUAAGACUGGGAUAACUUCGGGAAACCGGAGCUAAUACCGGAUAAUAUAUUGAACCGCAUGGUUCAAUAGUGAAAGACGGUUUUGCUGUCACUUAUAGAUGGAUCCGCGCCGCAUUAGCUAGUUGGUAAGGUAACGGCUUACCAAGGCAACGAUGCGUAGCCGACCUGAGAGGGUGAUCGGCCCCACUGGAACUGGGACACGGUCCCGACUCCUAAGGGAGGCAGCAGUAGGGAAUCUUCCGCCAUGGGCGGAAGCCUGACGGAGCAACGCCGCGUGAGGGAUGAAGGUCUUCGGAUCGUAAAACUCUGUUAUUAGGGAAGAACAAAUGUGGAAGUAACCAUGCACGUCUUGACGGUACCUAAACAGAAAGCCACGGCUAACUACGUG